rnacentral:rRNA from 1 species
GACGAACGCUGGCGGCGUGCUUAACACAUGCAAGUCGUACGGUAAGGCCCUUUCUGGGGUACACGAGUGGCGAACGGGUGAGUAACACGUGAGUAACCUGCCCACAACUUUGGGAUAACGCUAGGAAACUGGUGCUAAUACUGGAUAUGUGCCCCUGCUGCCUGGUGGGGGUUGGAAAGCUCCGGCGGUUGUGGAUGGACUCGCGGCCUAUCAGCCUGUUGGUGGGGUAGUGGCCUACCAAGGCGGCGACGGGUAGCCGGCCUGAGAGGGUGACCGGCCACAAUGGGGGUGGGGAACGGGCCAGACUCCUUCCGGAGGCAGCAGGGGGGAAUAUUGCACAAAGGGCGCGAGCCUGAUGCAGCAACGCCGCGUGGGGGAAUACGGCCUUCGGGUUGGAAACCGCUUUCAGCAGGGACGAAGCUUUUUGUGACGGUACUUGCAGAAGAAGCACCGGCUAACUACGUG